GCCAGGGAAAAUUUUUGCAGAUAUUUUUUCCUUCACAUUCAACCACCACAAUGCUCAUUUUAUCAUUUGGUUGGCAGAUUAUUGAAAGGUGGGCAACUUGCAUGGAGAAACAACCUGCUAUAGAUGGUCAAAUCGAUUAGUUAUCUCUUGCAAAGAAAGAGACAAUUCAAUGUUGAUUUGAUGCUUCAGAGAGGUUACAUGAGAAGUUUCUUUAGAAGGAAUGAAUGUAUCACCUCGUGGCUUGUAUGUUUGUUUUGUCUGCUGAGUAGUGUUGUACUUGUACAGUAACCAUAAUUCAUUGGACAAUCCUUGUCAAAUAAAUUUCUGGUGACAAUAGAAUUACAGAUUCUGCAAAUUUAUGCCAAGUAUUUCUCUCUCUUUACCCAAUUGUCUCCAUACAAAAAAGGGUUUGGGAGAGAUUUUCUGUCUUGGGCGCGCCUUUUGACAACACUACUGAUAAAUAUAAAUGAAUACAUGGGGGGUUAAAUUUGAGGUUUCCCUAUCUGAAAUUGUAUUCAUGUGCCAUCUCAACAAGAUGCAUCAGUCUGGGAUUAAAGACUAGGAUUGAAAU